rnacentral:tRNA from 1 species
UAGCUCAGUCGGUAGAGCUUGGGGCUCUUAAUCCCAGGGUCGUGGGUUCGAGCCCCAC